UUAAGGAAACUAUAAUUAGUGUUGUAAUGGCUAGAAUAAGGUUUGAAGGUUUUAUUCACAGCUAGUAACUGAUGAUCAGUGCAGCCUCUAGAAGUCAGAGGGGUCUGAAGCAUGAAUAGAUUCAUUUUUCCUGGUACAUGUCCAAACAAGAAAAAAAAGACAAUAUAAUUCAAGCUUUGACAUUGAAGGAAGAAGGAGGGGAGGGAGGGAGAGAAAUGCAAAUAUACCUCAGUUAAUUGUCCCACUUUUGGAUUGCCUAGAGCACCGAAUUCAAUUCCAGAGAAGUCUUCUUUUACUUGGCUGAGACCAUGAGAUACAUGAGGGACCAUCUUCCAAAACAAGGUGCUUGAAACAACAUUGUGGCUGAGCUUCGGGGAUUAAGGGAAGAAACUGUAUUUACCUGCUGCAGUUAAGACACGGAGUCUUUAGGGAUUCCAAAACCUGCAUGAAAACAUGGAGGAGAGAGGAAAUAAGCUUUAUGGAAAGAAACACAGACAGACCAAAUUUACAGUUUUCCACUCAAACCAGAGAACAUGCACAUGGGAAGACCAGCUGAGAAAUAGCAAAUGAUAAAUCUUACCCAGAGCUGGCUGUAAACUCAGAUGCAGUGAUGUUAAGCAGGUGACAAAACAUCUUCUUCGAUCUUAUUAAACACCAAAGAUAUGUAUAUGUAGGCACUGAGUAAGCAAAAAGGAAUUAAUUUCAGGAAUGCAGACAUGUUCCUAUGUGACAACCACACUGGGAUCACAAGACAAAAAGCCACCGGUGCGACCAACAACUUCUGUAUGCUAGAGAGGAUCGUUUAAAUCAGAAGCUGGAAUUUCUUACACACCAGCAGAAAUCCAUUUCAUGGUCAAGGUCAACCCUGUUACAUCAUUUUCUUCUACUGCCACUAUUCUGUAACAUUAUACUUAAAUUAGGUUCCAGAGGAGUCCUGCUGG
rnacentral:lncRNA from 14 species